rnacentral:misc_RNA from 1 species
UCCGGUUUGUCACCGGCAGUCUCCCAUGAGUCCCCAACUGAAUGCUGGCAACAUGGGACGGGGGUUGCGCUCGUUGCGGGACUUAACCCAACAUCUCACGACACGAGCUGACGACAGCCAUGCACCACCUGUGAAGGUGUCCCGAAGGAGGGCCGUGUUUCCACGGCUGGCACCUACAUGUCAAACCCAGGUAAGGUUCUUCGCGUUGCGUCGAAUUAAACCACA